rnacentral:lncRNA from 1 species
UUUUAAAAAAGUUUAUAAUUUAAAAUAAAUUAAAUAAAUAAUAAAUAGGAAAGGUAAUGGGCUGGAUUUUUAGUUACGAAGGCUUGGUAUAAAUGACUUGCACCAUAAACAAAAUAAAUUGGGGUUUGUAAAUAUUAGUGGAUUUUUUUUAGUUGCAGUGUGAAAUGAUUUAUUUGUAGAGAAAUCGUUUAGAAUUUUCAAAAUUCUCUUUUAACUUUCAAGUUUUAAAACUUUCUUCAUGGUAAAAAAAAAAAUCUCCGAUACAAUCGGUUAUAACACAACAAUUACCAAUAUGACGACAUAAAAAAAAACACGUUUAUUUUGUCUAAUUUCGAUGUUUUGUAUGCAUUCCGUGUUCGAUUACCCGAAAUGAGAUAUUGCAUUUCACGGAAUUCAACACGAAUUGAGCAACAUAUUUUGAUAUUGUCACUUUUUUUUCCUGAAAUUCACAAUCGAAUCGGAACUUUUUGCACUUGCAAUUUCUUCUUCUUUUCCUGUUUCUUCGUUGAAAUCUUUUCCGAUUCCUUCAUCGGAACUUUUUUCAUCAGAACAAGCAAUCUCUCUCUUGAUUGAUCGAUCGAAACCCUGGUCUGUUUUUCACCUUUCGUUGGUUUGUUAAGGUUUAUUUAAUUUAGGUUAAAUUUCAAUUUCGCUCCUGUACUCUGGCUCGAUAUUAUUUUACCUAUUUUACUCUCAAUUGCAUCGAUUUGCCCCCUUUUAGUUUGGUUCGAUAACACUUUACCCCCUUCUACUUUCAAUUACAUCGAUUUGCCCCCUUCUAGUUUGGCACGAUAUCACUUUACCCCAUUCUACUCUCAAUUGCAUCGAUUUGCCUUCUUUACUUAAAAAAUUGUGUCAAUGUGGCCCUCGUUGUUAGUUUUCAUACAUUUGACCUUAACACCAUUUGACCUAAGUAACAUUACAAAGUCUACCCUCCAAGUUUAAAUAAUUAUUAAAAAAAAUAAAAUAUAAAAAACAAAAAAAAGGUUGAGAGGUAAUAAUGGGCUGCAUUUUGAGAAUGGGUUGGGCUGCAACGGGUGGAAUGGAAUGUAACCCGAGCAGUAGUAGCUGAUUUACUCAUUUCUUAUUUCUUGGAUUUUUGCUAUUUGCUUAAAAGUCCUUUUCUGUUUGAAAGUUUAUAAUAUUUUUUCCCAAAAAGGGGUUGAGGUUUUGGAGUGGGGUAGGGGUGGAAGUAAGUACGAAUUUCUUUUAUUUCUGCCCAUUUCGAUUCGGGUUUUUUUUUUAUAUAACUAUUUUUCAAUUCGAAUUUUGAAAUUACGACUUUCUAUUUUUCUUAAAUUAUUUUAAUCGGAAAUGGAAUAUAGAUUAGAUUCUGAUUUCUGUUCCGAUUAAAGUUAUAAAAAUAAAUCAAAAAAUACUGAUUUUGUUUUCCGAAUAUUACAAUUAAGAUACCAAUAUUAUUAUGUAUUUUAUAUUUAUUAUUUAAGGUAAGCAAAAAUUGGAAAUUUAUGAAAGCUACCAUUCCGAUCUGAAAUUUUCUAAUUUUGGAAUAAGUAUUUUCUUCCCAAUUUUCCAAAAUUAAAGUUUUCCGAUUUUUUUUCUAUUUUUUUUAGGGGUCUUCAUAUAUAGGUCCCUGGUGACAAAACUUAUUAGAACUAAAUGACAAGCCCAAAUAAACAUUUGCUUUACAUCCUUUAUAAAAUCCAUUCAAAAAAUACCCCUCCACUCAGUAUUUAGUAAAUUCAAACUGUAUUUAUCAUUUUUUAUUUGCAUUUAAUACUUUCAUUUUUUCAUAUAACUUUUUUAAUUAUUUGUUUUACAGAAUACCAUUUUGUCUUCGUUUUUUUUUUCUUUCUUCAUUUCAAAAUUUUAUACAAUUUUAUAAAAAAAAACUUUUGUUUUCUUUUUUGUACAUAAUAUUGAAAAUUAUAAAAAAACAUGUUUUUUUUUUAAUUCAAUUUACAUAAUUUUUUAAUUUUUUAUUUUAUUUUUAUUUUUCUUCUAUCAAUAAAUAUAGUAGUCAUCUAUAGUCAUUGUAGUCGAUAUCGCACAUCCUAUAUAUGUUAUGUUCACAGUAUGUAGUAGACUGUGGUGUACUAUGGUAUUCUCUAUAUAUUCAUAGUAUGUAGUAGACCAUAGUAUACUAUGGUGUAAUAUGGUAUACUAUGGUUUACUACGGUGUCUAUUCCAAAACCCUAGCCGCCAACCCUAGCAGUCAAAGCAACCUCCGCCCAAAUCCUUGAAGCCAAAAGUCGCAGUCGUCGCAACCGUAGUCUCCUAACCCCUUUUGCAAAAUCUAGAUCUACAACAAAUCGAAAAUAAUAACAAAUCAUAUCCAAACGAAGAAAAAACUUUUAAAAAAACAAGAACAUCAAAUUCAAUUAGUCAAAAUAUGCUUGCAAUUACAAAUCUUUAUAAAAAAAAUGAAUAAAAUCGAUUUGUUUAUCUAUUUUCAAUACCAAAUCCUUAUAAAGAAAAAUAGAGAAGAACUGCUCUCUCCACCGCGCAAUCCCCCCCGCAGAUGCCCACCGCACAACCCUUUGAAACCACCACCUUCUCCACCAUAGCAUGUGCUGGACUUGUUGUUGCUCCUGCUCCCUUUGUGGCUGCAGCCAGUGGCCUUCAGAGAGAGAGAGAGAGAGAGAGAGAGAGAGAGAGAGAGAGAGAGAGUCAGAAUAGGUGAGGGUUGUUGAGCGGCGUGAGAUAGAGGGGAGGGGGGGAGGGGAAGAGAGAGAAAGAGUGAUUUUUAUUAGGUAUUGUAAGGCUAUUUUGGGGUUAAAUAAAAAACAAAGGAUGUGUAUCAAUUUUUAUUUUAAAAUAAGGGUGUAGUUAAAAUGUUUUAUUUGAGAUUGUCACUUAUAUUUAAUUAGGUUUGGUUUGAGGGUGUGAGGCAUAUUACCCCUUUUUUUUAAACGGAGUUGGAACUACUUUUCCAAGUAUGCUCUAAAACCAUUAACAACCUCAAAAGCGACAUUUAAUGAACGAGCAAAUACUACAGCAUGCUUAAGUUCAUAUUCCAAAUUAAAUUGUUUUAUUCCUUUUGAGAUAGGCUAAGCAUCUUACCAAUGUGAUGUUGACAGGGUCAAGCACUUUUAUUCCAACAUUUUCAGAUGAAUAUUUGCAAAAUUGUGUGAGGUUUGAUCUUUGUAGUAACCUGGAUAAAAUUAGAAAACCAAAGAAAAAGCAGAGAUGAAGCGAAAAUUAAACCUAAAUCACAAAACGAUAUACAACUAUACAAACAUAUAUAUAUAUAUAUAUAUACUAGUCUCGAAGCACCGCACAAGGUGCGGUGUCGGUGCCCAGUUAAUUUUCUUCAUAAGAUAUAAAUUUCGAUUUCUUUUGAACUAUUAUUAUUUGCUUGAUGGAGCAGUACCUCAAUCUUUUCUUCGUAGCAUAAAUUUAUGUUAGAUUAUUGUUAUAUGGUAUGGAAUGCAACAUUAAAACCAGCAAAGUAACCGGCUAAAUUUGUUCAAUGUAUCUUAGAGAGGAAGGAGAACUGUCAUGUCAAGAAUCAAGAAGAACACAGGUUCAGUUAGAUAAAAGAGCGAGGUAAAACAGCGUCACAAGGCGGAAAUGAAAAUUUCCACAUACGGCAUAAACAAAUGUACAAGGGCGGCAAUCCCACAACCUCUUUAGAAUCUUCCUCGACUGGGAACUGAUAAUUCACCGAUAUUUCUCUGUAUGAGCAAGGCAGGGACAGUUCAAAUCGAGGGAAAAAGGCUGGUUAUUCGUGGUCAACACACGCUUGCCACCUCCGUUGACCGGGACCCACACCUGGAUAAGUACGUUCUUAUCCCUCGAGCAAUCAUUAAUGUAAGCGAGUGCUUGAAGUAACCGACCGACAACGAAGGCCUAGGCGCAAUCCACCACCUUUUGCUGAUGAGUUCGCAGCUCUCGAGCAAAUAAUUUUCGGAGGAAAUACGGGACUGGGAUAUGGAUAGAUUGUCGGGGAAAUACGAUUUUUGACCCUCGUGUUGGCCCUAUUUUGACGGGCUUGCGCUAGAUUCGGUGUUGUGAUUGGCGGGUUCGAGUGCAGGCCAUGGGAACGAAGGUUGGAAGGGGGAAAAUGGAGCUGAGGAAUCGAAAUUCGAGACCUCGGAUCCGUUUGCUUCUAACCAGCAACCUUCUAACAACAGUUCAUCCAUGUAAUCCAAAUCCAUAAACGGAUCCGAAGUGGGGCCCAUCAUUGUACUGAGAGGAAGAACACCUUGCUCCAAUUUUUGUGAUGAAAAAAUAAAUAAAAAUCCAUUCUUUAAACAAUGCCACAAAAGCUAAUUUGUUCUUCCACCAGAUCUGAAUUUCAGACCUAGAUUAAUUAGCCUCUCUCAUGGUUCAUGAGUUCAAAUUUGAGAGAUAUAAGUACACACUUGAGUGCAAUUUUGAAAAGUUUCUUUUUAGAUGGCCCUCAUCUUACGGAUAUGAGUUCCUACCAAUGAAUUGGCUUUCAAGAUUGCGACACUUUCAACAACGGUCAAAACAUUAAGAAACAUAUCGAAAUAUAGCACAUACAAACUUUUGGACAAUUCGUAUUAACCCAAAAGAGUGAUUACAAAAUAUAUUUACGAAUAAUAUCCAGUUCAAGAAAUAUUAAUAUUAACCACUUAGCUGCAUAAAACCCUGGACCAGUUUCCAAACAAAGCAGAUUUUUCUUUUUUAAAUGCACACAUCGAGAUUAAUUGAUUAAAAAAAUAAUAAGAAAAAAUUAAAACAUUGAAAAAAAAAAAAUUGAUUACCUAUACAAGAUCCGGUUCAUCCGAUUCCGAUUCAUCCGGUUCCGGUUCAGCGGGAGGGGCAAAAUCAACAGAGACAACAUAUUCAUAUAUAACAGCAUAAGUAGCUUGAAAGGUUUUGGCAUUGCUAUCAUCAUCAUCAUCAUCCUUCACAGGCUUAGCGGUAAAUGUAAUCCUGUACUGAUAACCUGCGAAUAAAUGUCCAGUUGCACGGAGCACCUUCAGCACACUGUAUUUUACGGCCUACACACACACACACCCACACAAUUAAUUAAAAUUGAUAAAAAAAAAAAUUUAAUUAAUGGGUAUGCAUACACAAUCAACAAAUUAUUUUGAAGAAAAAUUACAUACGUGUGUUUUGUUAUAGAUGUCGAUACAUAGAGCUGUAUAUUCUUCGAUCUUACGCAUUGUUUGAAGAUCACAGCGCGUGCAAUAGACUGGGUCGUACAAGAGAGUAGCGCCUCCGACCGUAGCUCUAACUCCGGUCCGAGCUCUAGCUACGGCCCGAGCUCUAGCUCCACUCCGAACUCUGCGCUUGCGCUUCCGAUUGCGAUUGCGAUUCAUAUUCUUAUUCACCCUGCUAGACUCUCCCAGAUUCUCCGGCUGAUUCAUGCCGCCACCGAAUUCACAACUAGCUAUCUCUCUCUCUCUAGAAGCCCUAAUCGCGUAUACCUUUUUAUUUGGUUUUUAAAAAAGUUUAUAAUUUAAAAUAAAUUAAAUAAAUAAUAAAUAGGCGAGGUAAUGGGCUGGAUUUUUAGUUACGAAGGCUUGGUAUAAAUGACUUGCACCAUAAACAAAAUAAAUUGGGGUUUGUAAAUAUUAGUGGAUUUUUUUUAGUUGCAGUGUGAAAUAAUUUAUUUGUAGAGAAAUCGUUUAGAAUUUUCGAAAUUCUCUUUUAACUUUCAAGUUUUAAAACUUUCUUCAUGGUAAAAAAAAAAAAAAAAAAAAUCGGUUAUAACACAACAAUUACCAAUAUGCCGACAGCAAAAAAAAACACGUUUAUUUUGUCUAAUUUUGAUGUUUUGUAUGCAUUCCGUGUUCGAUUACCCGAAAUGAGACAUUGCAUUUCACGUAAUUCAACACGAAUUGAGCAACAUAUUUUGAUAUUGUCACUUUCUUUUCCUGAAAUUCACAAUCGAAUCGGACCUCCCCGAAUCCACAACACUCCGACCCGAACAUAAUUGAACAACAAUCUCUCUCCGGAUUGGAAAGAGCAUGUCAGGCAUCCAUUCAGAGAUUGCACAAUAAAGUAUACUCAAGAUUCAAUAAUAUUAUAAACUAUUACAGAGAUGUGUUGUGGAAUGCAUUUAUUUUCUUAUGUUUAUUUUAAAUAAGUUGUUGUUUAUUAAUAUAACCAAGUUAUUGCAUAUUAAUAUAAAUAAAUUGUGCAAAUCACCGCCUCUCUGUUAGUGUUACUUUUCCUAAACAAUUUUGUUAGAAAUACUCCAGACCUAGCGUUAAAUCCAGAGCGAAAAAUUGCACAAAACCUUUAGCGAAAAAUUAAAAUUCGUAUGUCCUCAAAGCAAUAGGGAAUAUUUUUCAGGGGAUCCAACUAAUUUCCCCAUAUUUCUUGUUGUCAAGGUAAAAUGAUUAUUACCUAUAAAAGGUUAGCACGAGGGAGAAAUUCAACAAAAGUCUACAUAGUUGUGUGCGAUGGAAACAAAAGCUCGGAAAGUUCUGGGAUGAAAUUGAAUCCCACGCAAUCCUCAUCAACAUUACCACCAGCAACUAAGACCAUACAUAACAUGAACACAUUGUUUAACUCGACUAAUUUCAAUGACACGAACGAUCUCAAGUCAAAGUAUUGAGUGGAUUGGUAUGAUUGCCAGCCCUACAUAUAUAUAUGGACCGCAAAAAACAUAAUUUACGAACAGCCACGCGUUUGUUAGCACUAGCAGGCAAAUUGCGAAAAUACAUAAGCUUAACAUUGUUCCAGCCUUCCACGGGGCAUUGACCUCCACACACCAGCAUUUGUUUUACAAUAUAAAAAAAAGGAGUCUAGAUGCACACAAAUAAAGUUAGUUCAUCACAGCCAUAUUACGUUAAAGUUAACACAACUUAAUAUUUCAUAAGCAAAACGAGUCCAUGUACCAAGAAAAGAAAUUUUAAUAUAUAGAUUCAAGGCUAAGUGGAAUGAACCGAGUCCCGGCAACACAGUCUUGCCUUGUCAAUAUGUAGAUAGAGAUUCUCACUAAAAAUAAUGAAACACGCAGUAACAGCAGCGUAAGAAAAAAAGCAAAACGAGAAAAAAAAAAAAAAAAAAAAAGUGAUUAUACCUACGGGCCGUAGAUAGAUGAACCGAGUCCCGGCAACACAGUCUUGUCAAUAUGUAGAUAGAUUCUCACUACAAAAUAAUGAAACACGUAGCAGCAGCAGCGUAAAAAAAAAAAAAAAAAAAAAAAAAAAAAAAAAAAAAAAGCAAAACGAGAAAAAAGGUGAUUAUACCUACGGCAGGCGAGGACGAACAAGUUCAACAAACUCAACAUAGUUAUGUGUGACGGAAACCCGAGCUUCGAGAGUUAUGGGAACGUCAUCACAAGGCUUAGCGGUAAACACCAAAUCCACCAUAGAGCCUGUGGUCGAUAAAUGUCUAGUUGCACGCCCCAGAUCCCCCAUACUGUAUACGUGAGCCUACACACACACACACAUAUAUAAUAAAUUAAAGGAAGAAGCAAUUAUUGUAAUUAAUCAUUUAAACAACAAAGAAAAAAAAAAUAAUACAUACUUGCAUCUUGUUGUAGACUUGAAGAGCUAAAUCGGCGCAUCCCUGGAUCAUUUUAAUAGUAUGAGCAUCACAGGAGGUGGGAUCUUCUCCAUCAUAAAUGACGGAGCCCAGAGGAAAAAUUCUCAUGGGCAAAUUGCCUUGAUCCUCUGGAAAUUCAAGGUAUUCUACAUAAUCAUUUCUGAGGGAAACCUCGGCUCGAACAGUUAUCGGUUUCUUACCCUCCUCCGGCGGCUCAGGCUUAACCUUGAAAACCAUAUGCAACAUCGAAGUUCCACAUCUAACAGCAGUUGCGUGCACCAUUUUCACAAAACUGUAUUUGUUGAUCUACACACACACGCGCCCACAGAGGUGAUAUAAAAGAAGAAGUAAUUAAAAUUCAAAUAAACACCAAAUUAAAUUAUAAUGAAAAGAAAAGGCAAAAAAAAUAAAACAGAGAGAGAAGAUGAAUGAAUACAUACAUGUGUUUGGUUGAAGAAAUCAAUAACUAAUUGGGCACAUUUUUUCAUUAUUUCCAUGGAUUCAGGAUCAUCGAGCGUCGGAUCUCCGUUAUACAAGAUUUCCAUUCCUCCUGGCCAAAAACAUUUUGGUUUAUUUUCGGCUUCUUUCAUCGGAACUUUUUGCACUUGCAAUUUCUUCUCCUUUUCCUGUUCUUUCAUCGAAACUUUUUGCACUUGCAAUUUAUUCUUCUUUUCCUGUUCUUUCAUCGAAACCUUUUGCACUUGCAAUUUCUCCUUCUUUUCCUGUUUCUUCAUUGGAACCUUUUCCGGUUCCUUCCUCGUAACCUUUUUCAUGCCGCCGCAGAAGAAUUCAGAACAAGCGAUCUCUCUCGAUCUCUCUCUCUCGAAACCCUAGUCUGUUUUCCCCUUUCUUUUUUUUGAUUAAAUUUAUAUUUAUUUAUAGGGUAAUUGGCACUUUGCACCCUCGAAUUGCAUGUUAUUGGCAGCUUGCACCCUUAAACUGAAAAUUUAGCAAAAUGCUCCCUCCAAUUACAAUUUAUUUAACACUUUGCACCCUCAUUCACCUUUUGACUAAAAGAAUGACAUGUUAUUUGCUUUUCAGAUUUUAAGAUGGUAAAUUUCUCUUUAUUUUAUUUUUUUUACAAAUAAUAAAAAGAAAGAAAGAAAACUUAAAAUUGAAACUUGAAAAAAAUGAUUUGAUUUAGACAAUUUUAGAAAAAAAAUGAAAUGAUUUAGACCUUGAGACAAAAACUAAAUAAAAUGAAAGUUGUGAAGAUUGGAUUAGGGUAUUUAUAAGCGAAAAUAUUACUUGAGAAAUUUUUCAAAAUUGUUCAAAUCUAAAAAAAAAUUCAAUCUAUCUUUUACAUUAAAUCGUAACUCCUCAUAUUUCUCAAAAUUAUAUAUAUAUAUAUAUAUAUAUAUAUAUAUAUAUAUAUAUAUAUAUAUAUAUAUAUAUAUAUAUAUAUAUAUAUGAAUUUGUUAUUAAUAGAGAUUUUUAAUAUUAAUAAUAGUGAACAUGACAAUUAAUAAUUUAUUAAACAUUAAUUAUACAAUUAUUAUAAUCAUUUUACAGUGUUAUAUAUAAAUGUUAAAUACAGUUUACACCCUUAAAGUAUAACCUCUGUAAUACCUACACCAUUAAAGUAUCAUUUGUAACACUUAUCCAUCUCAAGAUUAAUUUAAUUUGUAUUUUAAAUCUAAUACCUUAAAAUUUUCUUUUUUAUUUAAACAAAUAACUACAAGAAUAAUUAAAUUAUACAAAUAAAAAUAUCUAUUGAGAAAUACAAGAUUUAAAAAAUUAAAAAUAUUAUCUUGUGUUGAGUACAUAUUUAAUAAAUAACAUCUAUUGUUAUUGGAAUAAGUAAUCAAAUAUAUUCAUAUCGAUAAAUUUUAAGAUAUCAAUACAUAACUAAUAGUAACAUUUUAGUUCAUUAAUUUCAUAAAUUAUAUUUCUAUUCAUUAUUAUACAAUAUAUAUUACUUUUUAUUUUUUUUCCAAUAAUUUAUUUUUUUAGUUACUUCUCAAUUUUAUGAUCCAAUAAUUAUUAGAUUGUUAUGUUUAUUAAUUUUUAAAUUUUAAAAUAUAAAAUAAUUAAUAUGGAAAGAGUAAGUGUUACAAAUGAUAUUUUAGGGGAUAAGUGUUAUGUAGGCUAUAUUUCAAGAGUCCAAAGUAUAUUUAACCCUGCAUCUUAAAUGUCAAAUAAAUGCAUAAAAAAAUGAUGAUUAUAGAAUAAUUAAUAAGUCCAAAUAAUAAGCAAAAUGAAUGUCGAAAAACUCAAAAAAGCCUCUUUACUAUAUCUGUCUGGUCUUUGACUCCUAAUCAACUUCUCCCUCUCUCUCAGCUGCGCCUUUCUCUCUCCUCCCCCUCUCUCUCUCCUCUCCUCUCUUUCUCUCUCUAGUUCUUCUUCCCCCACACAAAAACUGGGAGCCCCAAAUCUUUCAAUCACAUUUGUUUCUCUGAGACCCAAAUACAUACGUCACUUUUUAAUUUAGAGAGAUUAACAGCAUUCUCUAUUUUAUCUGGAAAAAAGGAUUUUUAUUUUAUUUUGUUGAGAAGAAGAUGGGAAAAUUUAUAAAUACCUGGAUUAUAUGUAUCUAGAUAUAUAGAUAGAUGUAAAUCUCUGAUUUCAGCCGCCAUUGUUAAUCCGACGAAUUCGAAAGCAUCCAAGAUGGUCGACAGGCCUCCGUACGCCAAUCGCAGAUGGCAAAAUUACUCCGCCACGAAGCUCAUCUUCUGGGCCUCUAUUUUCGCCGCCCUAAUCCUUUUUCUGAUCUUCCACUCCCCGCCGCCCGAUCUCUCCGCCACCGGACGCACCGCCGCCUCCACAUGGGGCGGCCAGACCUGGGAGAAGCGCGUACAAAUGUCGGCCCGUCCCCGCUCCAAUUCCCCCUCCCACGACGGCGGCGCCGGCCACCUCUCCGUCCUCGUCACGGGCGCUGCCGGAUUCGUCGGCAGCCACGUCUCCGCCGCACUCAAGCGCCGCGGCGACGGCGUCGUCGGCCUCGACAAUUUCAACAGCUACUACGACCCCUCCCUGAAGAGAUCUCGCCGGAAACUCCUCGAGGACGCCGGAAUCUUCGUCGUCGAGGGAGACAUCAACGAUUCCGAUCUCCUGAACAAGCUCUUCGACGUGGUCGCAUUCACCCACGUGAUGCACCUCGCCGCCCAGGCCGGCGUCCGCUACGCCAUGAAGAACCCUAGCUCGUACGUCCACAGCAACAUCGCAGGCCUCGUCAGCAUCUUCGAAACCUGCAAAAACGCAAAUCCACAGCCGUCGAUCGUCUGGGCUUCCUCAAGCUCCGUCUAUGGCUUAAAUUCAAAAGUCCCCUUUUCGGAAACCGACAAAACCGACCAACCGGCAAGCCUCUACGCCGCCACAAAGAAAGCCGGCGAAGAAAUCGCCCACACAUACAACCACAUCUACGGCCUCUCAAUCACAGGGCUCCGAUUCUUCACCGUUUACGGGCCGUGGGGCCGGCCCGACAUGGCCUACUUCUUCUUCACAAAAGAUAUCCUCAAAGGGAAGCCCAUAACAAUAUUCGAAGGUCCAAAUCACGGAAGCGUGGCUCGGGAUUUCACUUACAUUGACGACAUUGUUAAGGGCUGUGUCGCGUCGAUAGAUACUGCAGAGAAGAGCACGGGUAGCGGAGGGAAGAAGAAGGGGCCCGCACAAUUACGUGUAUUUAACCUCGGAAACACAUCCCCUGUUCCUGUGGGCAAGCUUGUUGGUAUUUUGGAGAAGCUUUUGAAGGUGAAAGCUAAGAGAAACGUGCUGCCUAUGCCGAGAAACGGAGAUGUCGUUUUCACGCAUGCGAAUAUUAGUUACGCGCAGAAGGAGCUUCAUUACAAGCCAACUACAGAUUUGCAAACAGGGUUGAAGAAAUUUGUGCAUUGGUAUAUGGAUUACUACUCGGUAAAUGGGAGGAAGAAGUAUUGAGUUUUUGACGAUGAUCGUUUGGGAUAGUAUUUUUCGACCCCAUUUGAUUGCUUAAGCAAGGUACAUUUUUCGCCGAUCUCUUUUGGUAUAUACGUUGGUUGAAAAGAUAGAAUUUUUUUAGCAGUUCAAGAAAAGAUGUGUUAGUGAGAGUGAUCACAUGAUUUUUUUUUCUUUGAGAAACCCAAAUGGGAUUUUUGUUUGAGUUCGAAUAUUUCUUGUUUGUCUAUAUACUGAUGAUUGACUUUCAUUUUUUUUUCCUGCACGGAUAUUUUUUUUUCUCUAACGAUUUAAUAAAGUUCAAUGCGUUUUCGCUAUUAUUGGAUUGUGUGGUUUAGUUUUAUGGUAUGUGAAUAAAUUGCAUACUAAGAUGGUUGAGAAACGAAUAGCAAUGGUAGCUUUUGAGUUCUUUAUUAGAGGUAGAAUAUUCAUUUAGAUUGAAAUGUUGGAUGGGUGAUUAUGAUUUCAAAUUUAUGAUCACAAUUUAAUCAUAGCUUGCUUCUUUAGUAAUAGAUUCAAGAUUCAUGUCAUUUGAGAUCGUUUAAAAUCUCUUCUCCGAAUCAUUCCUCGUAUGGAAAUCCAUAGUUCGAGAUGUCUAUUUCAUUAUGAUAUCUGUCUUCAUCCUCAUGAAAAAGUGUGCAUUAUGUCCGAUUUCCGUUACGAUAAGAGAAUAUGAGAAUAUAUUCGGGUUGUGUAUUUGUAUUCGGGUGCUCUGCACUUUCAAUGAACUCAUUCUACAUGUUGCGUGUUAAGAUUUUCAAGAAAAUCGCAGGUCUUGUUUGAUAUAAAAGAGAUAUUCAUAUAUGGUUGUAUGGCAAGAAUUAAUUUGUUUCUAUCAUUACCACCUCGAUAAAUAAAUUAAUACUUUAUAAAUUAAUAACCUCGUUUAAAUGUUAUUCUAAUGAGUACUUUAUUGAAUCAAUUCUAUUUCAUAUCCGAUCGCAACUUUGUAUAGGGAAUUCAAAGGUAUCAUAUUGGAGACCGUAACCAAAAUUUAUUGCAUUUGAAAAAGAGUCUGAUCCCAAAUAGAGAUUCAAUUGUACAUUGGUUUACAACGAAUUUAAAGUUGUUAUGAAAUAUAUUAGCAAAACUUUCAAAAUUUAACAAUCGGCGGGAAGAAAUUAAUGAAAAGUUUAUAACAAUUUUCAGAAUACAAUCCCACUAAAGAACUUCAUUUUUAACAUCACAUAAAUUGAAAACUUAGUAUCUGGCAUUCAACAGUGAGUGAAAAUUGACAUUACCAAAAUAUUCCCUCUAACAAUAGUCUUUAAAAGUUGAACAUUCAAAAUUGUAAGCCGAGAAAGAAAACCAAGAAAAGGGAAAUAUGUGGAGCUCUAAGAAUCGGCAAUGGUGACCUCAACCUCAACACCAGGUUCGAUCGUAAUUGAGGUGAUCUGCUUCACAACAUCUGGCGAGCUGAAUAGAUCGAUCACUCGCUUGUGAACCCUCAUCUCAAACCUAUCAAAAGUGUUUGUACCUAACAAAUCAAAGAAACUAUUAUCGUUAAAAUUAUUCCAAUAUAACAGCUAUAUAAAAUCAAAGAAACUAUUAUCGUUAAAAUUAUUCCAAUAUAACAGCUAUAUAAAGAUGCUGCUGUCAACAAUACGAAACUAGAAAUUAUACAAAACUCAACAUGUAUUAACUUAGUAAUAAUCAACAUGAUCCGAAGCUCAACAGGGCAAAUGAUAAUAAUAGUCACACUUGCUACUUUCGGGCUCGAAAAAUAAAGCACAUCGUCUAGAAAUAUAAUUUUCGGGCUCGAAAUAAAAAAUGCAGCUAAGAAAAUCUCGAACAAGUGUAACGGAAUACUUACCUUCACCACAAGGAGACUUCCUGGUGGUGAUAAGAAGAACCUUGGUUGGCAUUCUCACUGGUCCCUUAACACGGAGUCUUUUGUCCUUGGCCCCACGUACUAAGUCAGCACACACUGUAAUCGACACUCAAAAGUCAAUAGAGUGUUUAAUCGCCCGAAAAAUACAAAUUAUUUCACCAUGUAAUUUAUGAAACCGUUCACGUAAACAGGGCAUAUUCAAGUAUUAUUUAGUGAUAUCCAUCUGUUGGAUAUAGAAUCCAGAAUGAAAGGGAAGAAACUUCAAAAAGGGCACAAAUGGAUGCUAGACUAAACGUUGUUUAUCGUUGCAAUGAGCAGUCAAAUUUUCAACAACUGUUUCUAGUGUACACUCAAUUAACUAAGUUCAUUUCUUCGAUUGCAGUUGAUGUACAAAAGUAAGGUAAGAACCUUGCAAAAUUCUGGAUUAACAAAAAAAGGAUACUACACUACAAACGGAUGAUACAAUCUUCAGCUAAUCCAAUUACUACACUAAUUCAACUAAUAGCUACAGCAGAUAAAAACAUAACAUAUAAACCUCAAAUUUUCAAAAUGCGAACACAUUUCAGUAUAUUUCAAUGCCAAACAUGGAAUAGUGAACAUAAAGGAAUUAUAUCUAGAAAAUUAACAGAUAAUAGGGCACAAUCAAAUUCAAAACAAAUGCAAGCGAAAUGAAAUUAGCAAAACACCUUUCUCCAGAUUCUUCACGUUCUUCGAAGAGAGUGUGAUGCGGAUUUUGUGGAUCACCUCCUGCGGCUCCUCUAGCCCUGGCUUCGUCGGCUUCAUCGCUGCGUAUGCCAUGAUUUUCCUCGGAUUUUUUUCUCACUCUGUAAAUCCAAAUAAUACAAUUAAAAUAAAUGGUGACGAAAUCGAACAUAAAAUCAAAAUGAAGGUUCAUAUUUUGAUAAAUCUCAAUUUUCUGAUUAGAUUUCUACCGGAGAAAGGGAGUAGAAGAAGUGAGCGGCGGCGCGGAGCUGAGAAAAUGAGGAUUCUUCUUCCUGCCAAAUGAGUGUAAAAAAUUUCACUGAAAGAGUUUAUAAACCUAGGGUUGGAGACUGAUGUUCUGUAGAAAUGUUGGGCCUAUUUAAAAUUCGGGCUCGAGACUGAAGCCCAUUUAUAAUAGUGGAAUUUUGUUUUUUAAGUUCCGAAAUAAAUUUAAUGUAUUUAAAUAAUUCAUCUGGUUCCAGACUUCCGGUAUGUAAGAUAAUUAGUACAUUAUGCAAUUUUUUAUUUAUAUAUAUAUGUAUAUACAUCAUAUUUAAUUUUAUAUUUUAAUGUAUAUAAUAUUAUCUUUUAUGAAUAUUUUUAAUUUGGCAUUCUAUGUAUUGGUCAAUUUCUAUACUUCGAGAAGACUAAUAGAAGAUGCUGCAAAUGCAAAAGUAGUUAAUCGAAAAGAAAAAAAAGAAGAUGCUACAAAAGUUUGAAGUGAAGUACUACAAAUUAAUAAAAGUGUUCAAUCCCAGAUAUGUAGGAUUAAAAACUGGUUUUAGCUACAAUAGUUCCGAAAAAGUGAGAAAUCACAGAAAUACGGUCUCAAAAUCUACAUUAUAUAUCAUUCUACGACGAUUAUACGGCCUAAUUGCUGAACACGAAGAAAUCUGUAGCUCAGUUAUGACCGUUUUUAUCAUCUUGCACCAUUUCAUCUGCAUCUUCAAAGCGCUGAUCAUUUAUCUGAAGCUGCAAGAAAGAAGUUUAGUUCUUAUUAUAUAUAUUAUGACAUAAGAAGCAUUCACAACUCACAAGUCAGAACCAAAGUUUUUCACCGAAAACAUAGUACGGAUAAACAAAAACGGUGAAUUUAUUGGUGUAUGUAAUUAUAAAUAGCAAUUUAGUGCCAGCUAGUUUUGAACUUCUUGAAUGUACCUGCACCACUGAAUGGACCAAAUCGUGAGUCCCGUUUGCACCAAUAGAAUGGCCCGGAUUUUGAGCGAAAGCCCAGUCUGAAUCUUCAUCCUCUGAAGAGUACAAAAAAAAAAAAGCAAGUUAUAUGAGAACUUAUGAAAGAUCGAAACUAAACAGAUAACAACGCCUGAUAAGAUUAGUACCUUCACCAUCAUUUUCUAGUUGAUCAGCACUGAAUAUCCAAUUAUGUUCUUCUUCUCCCUCUGAUACAACCAUAAACAAAAUAAUUAAUAUUUGCCAAAAUGCACGUGAAUUAUUUAUGUAUCUUUUUAUUCACGAGAUUACACCUACCUUCGGUGGGAUCUGGAUUCAGCUCAGCACAUUCACAAAAUGUUGCAAACAGCAUGUCCACUGUAACAUGUUGAGAAUAAUCUUUUAGUGUCGGGAUAUGAUAUAUACUGAUAAAGAUGACAUAUGGAUUAAGAGAAGGACUUCAAUUUUUUUUAUUACAUUGAUCAGGGUCUGAGGGUAUGAGUCUCAUCUCGGUAAUCUUCGAUAAGUUUAAGGUACUAUCACUCUCAGAAUCUGAUUCUUCUGAUUCAUCUUCCUCAGCUUCAGUCUCAAUCUUCAAAAGAAACAAAAUACGAAUUCCAUCAUAAAUAUAUUGAUAAUUCAUUCAAAAAGAGGUGAGAAGCACGAAGGCAAUAUGCUCCUAAGUCUUAACAUUUUCGGUAGAACUUGAAGACGAAUUUUCCAAUUACGAGAGAAAAUAAUCAUACUCCUAACAAAAUUAUUGGUCGUAUUAGAAUCAUCUUAUUUAUUUAUAUAAUAAAGAACUAACAACCGAUCCAUAGCAAAAUCGAGGAAAUUUUCUUAGAACUAUACAAUCCAUACACAAAUUCUUAACCAGGUUCACCGAAAAUUCUAACCAGAACAGAGCCAAAAACAAAUUGCAUUUGUAGUUCGAACACUUCUAUUAAGUUACAUUUAGGAAUUCAGUAGCAUUUCUAAGCAAUUAACAGGAGCAUUCAAAAUUCAAAUGCAACUCGAACACAAAAAUUCACAAAAUGUAGGUUGAGCUCGAGGGUUAAAUUAAUGGAUCACCUGAGCGUAAAUACAAGGAGAAGGAUACGCCUCGGGGUCUCUCGACACCGCGUGAAGCGACACCGAAAUGAAGUCCACCGCGUAGCCUUUUGCUCUGUCCGUAUCGCUCAACCACACUACUUGCCUUCACACAAACAAAGUUUCAGGAAAAAAAAAAACAGCACAAUCAAUUACAUCAGAAGAAAUCGAGUAGGUGCGUAGGUAAAUUAUGUAUAGAUGCGGUGAAAUUACUUGGUGGAGAUGAAGAGAGUGCCCGGAGAUUCGGGCUGGCGGUUACCGAGAACGAUUGAGACGCCUGGCUGCACGAGCAUCAACACAUCUCCGUGGUCGGCGUCUAGGAAUGGCUGUCCGGUACCGCCGCCGGUCCUUUCCGUCACUGAUCGGAGUCCGGUGGCCAUUUCCUGUGAUGUUUUAGCUGUGGCGAGGGUAUCGGGGGUUUUAGAAAUUGGGAAUUAGGGUUUUAAUGUGGCGAAGUUGAAAGUGGCCGCCAAAAGUAAUUUGGGCACUCUUUUGUAUUUUUCCACACUUCUCGUCUUUGCCAUUUUAUUUUUAUUUUUUUUUAUAAUUAUUUAAUAAUGAAAAGGCAGACUUUCAUCAUUGGAUAAAAAAUAAAAAUAUAGCAUUUGAAAUGUGUGAUGAAGAUAGGUUAUUAAAUGAAGUUUUAUUAACAGUGACACUAAAUCUUCAACAAUAUUCAUAAUUUCACCUUUUAUUAAUUAAAACUACAAAAUUAUGUUACUUUACAUUACACUUUGAGAUUAUAUUCAUAUUUUUGGCUUCUAUGGAUAAAUAUUAAUCUUAUUCCCCAAAACACCCCUCAAAGCAUUGAUCAAUUUUACGUAUUUUCGUAAAUGACUAAAAUAAAAUACUUGUAAAGAAAAAAAUAGGACCUACCGAAAAUGUAGCAUCAACAAUCCCUACCUAUUACCAUUUUUCAGAAACAUUAAGCAAAUUAUUUUCUGAAUCCGACCGGUUAUACGAGAGAUAGGAGGACUGAGAGUUCACAUCAAUAGCAAUCAAAGUUAACCAAAACCUUAAUGAAAAAGCUUGAUAACAAAUUUCAGGAUCAACCAGUCUAACAGCAGCUAAAACAUUAUAAAGAAAAUCGCAAGAGCGAUUGGGAUCUCGGAAAUUGCCAUCAAUAUCUUAUGAAGUAAAAAAGUCGUCAACUCAAAUAACAAAAUUCUAAAAUAAAUAUAAUCUUGCCAAAAUUCAGUAAUUUGCCCUUAAGUUGAUUAUGGAGUCUAUCUCCGCUGCUCAGCCAAAACUCCUCUAGGCAAUUCACAAGCUUAUGCCACGAGAGUGCUAGCAGUAGUUGACUCGCUGCACGAAAUAGAAAUUUACAAAAUUAGUACUGGUCGAGAUAGAGAAAUCCAAGAACAUAAAAAUGAAUUUUGACAAUGUUUGACAUUAAUAAACUUGUGCACAUUGUACAGCUUAAUGCGCUUAAAAGUUAAAACACAACUCUGUGGGGUGGGCGGGGCUUGAAACUUUCCGAUGUUUGUCGGAGAAACGAAACAUAGCAUGUCAAAUCAUAAUAAACAUGGCCGAAUUUAGAAUUGGAGCAAUAAAAUAUACCUCACAAAGGUCAUUGCACUUAAAUAAAUAUCUAGGCUUCUUACGAAACAUAAAAUACCAUUUUCGAACAUAAGAUAAUAAAUUAAAUUGCUUCUUCCAUUUUUAUCACCCUUGAGUAACCGGUACCCAAUUCUUUUCAAAUGUGCAUAUGAACAAACAACAUUUUCAGUACUUGGUUUUCGUAAAAGAUUCAUUUCUCUUAUAUCCUUGACUGUGUCAAGUUGGAUAAACGAAUUAAUUAGCCAAAAAGGUCGUCACAAAAAUCAUGAUGCUUGACUGUAGAAAGCCAGCCAACUAAAUUACGGAACAGGCACCAUAUAUCUACGACUCUCUUCAAUGCAACACAAUAAGCACAAGUUUAAUCGAACAUUUGGAGACUUACUACUUCCAGACUGGUGGUAGCUUCUUGGUCUUCUUGUAGUAACGAGCAAGGCGGUGAAUCCUGCUCUCCACCAAAAUCAACCGGAACUUGGAGUCCUUGUCCUUCCUGUUCCUCUCCAAAUGCUUCCUUAUCGCAACAGCUUUCUUAAUCAAGUGGUACAAAUCCUCCGGAAUCUCAGGUGCAAGCCCUGUUAUAUAUAAAUGAACCGGAAACAAAUACAAUCAAUUACAUAAAAUUAAAUCUUCAAUUACAACAAAAACACCAAAAAUAAUAAAAAUAAUACCGUGAGCCUUGAGGAUGCGAAGGAUCUUGCUUCCGGUGACACUCUUCACCUGAGCAAUACCAUGAGAAUCACGGAGAAUAACUCCGAUCUGCGACGGAGUCAUUCCCUUCUUUGCGAACUUGCAGAUGUUCUCAUCGACCUUGUAUUUUCAACGAAUUCAAAAAAAUAAAAAAUUCAAUUAAUCUGGUACAUACACAAAUGUACAGAUACAGCAGAUCUGCGAUUUUGAUAGGGGAGAGAAAAUAAAAUACUUACAUCUUGAGAUGAGAUUUUCAACCAGCUUGGGGGAGUUCUCUUGUAGGGGAGAGCUGAUGCGGAAAUACCCUUACUUAGGUCAAAUGCAAAACAAUUAAUCCGAAGAAUACAAAACGAUUUUACAAAGAAAAUGAGAUAAGGACGAUGAAGGAAGAUGAAUUACCCGCGGCUGUGCAUACGACCCAUGACUGCGGCGGAGGUGGCGCUGCUGCUGCUCUGUGUUUUGCUUGUGGGAGUUCGGUUGGUUCUGAGAAGAAAUGACACAAACCCUAGAUUCUUACCAAGGGGAUUGGGUCGGCCCGGCCCAAUAGCUUUUAGGGCCUGACUGGUAUCAGAUUGUUAAUGGGUCGGGUCAUCUUGACCCGUAAAACUAAAUAAAAUUAAAAAUUAAAAUAUUGGUUUUAUGAUUGCCGUUUAAUGGUUGUAUUGUUUACUGUUUUUAAUGUUUGGUAACUAGAAAUUAUUACAUAGAUUGAAAUUUGUUAAUUAACCUUUAAAAAACCAAUAUACAAUAAAAAAAUUGGUUAUAAUUAUAGUAAUUGAUGAAAUUAUAAUUAAAUUGAUUCUGGUUAUGAAACAAGUCAAAAAGAAAGGAAACCUGGAUUGAUUCAGCUGGAUGUUACAAACAUCAUUCGAAUACAAAUAAAAACAUAUUAUGCAAUAAUCAAACAAUCAGAAGAACAAGAAUCACUGCAUCAAGACUUGGAGAAAAGUCAGCUAUACAUAACACACGAGUUUGACACGAUUAGAAGAAAUUGUACGUAGCAAAGUGCUCCCGCUGAAUCGUACAAAACAUAAAGGGUUCAAAAUGUUCAAAACCCGAAAACCUUAACAACGAGACCCCAAAUAAAAGACUACUCUAAAAAAACGAAAACAGAAUCUCCCAUUUCAAGCGAAUGCACCCAUAACAAGAAUCAGCAUAUCACCUGCAACAAAAAUAAAACAAAGCAACUCAGUUCAUCAGAACAAAGCAAAAUUUACAAGUUCCAUAUACUAUUGAACAAGUACACUAAAUAAUAAACAUGUACUGGUUUGAUAAAACCAAGAACAUUGAAAGCUAGAAUGAGAAAUGGUAUUUCAUGCAAAUACCAAUAGCUAAGGAUGCAUGAUGAUUAGGGGAAUCUUUGUUCAAAGUUCAGAAAAUUUCACACUCAAAACACGUAAAUUAGAGAGUGUUAGCGUAAGGAAAUGUCCAACUCCAGCGAGAGCUAAGUAUUAUGGAAAAUACAGUUCCAAUUCAAGAAAACAGUACUGUACAGUAAACACCAAAUGCUGAAUUUAUAAUCAAUCGUUUCAUUAGGCAGGGGAAAGUAGUAAUAUUUGUUAAGAAAGAAAAGAAAGGUAGCUCCAAAAUGAGUAUUACCAUUAGCACUACAUUAGAAAUUCCAACCAUAGGUGAGAAAUGCUAGUAUAAAAAAGUAUGUUAACUGACAACGAAGUACUUCAAAUAUGCAAUUUAAUCUGGUUUCAUGGGCAACAGCUACUAAGUAACAUACACUUCAUACAAGAAAAUAGUCUAGCUCAGUCUUUCGUGUCUUGAUCUCUUUGCACUCGCCGAGUCCUGGUUUCUGGUUUCAUUGAGAAGAACACUAAGCAAAAUAGUUUACUUCUUUAGAAAUAAAGGAGAACGUUAAGAACACUUCCGUACGAACGGGAUUAUAGUACAUCUUUAACGACUAGUUUCAACUCAUUCUGAUCCAUGAGAAUCAACUAGAAGCCGAAUUUUUUUUUUUUGAAAUGAUAUCCUAGGGUGUUGAGAUGGAAAAUUGAUGGAAACUAGCUUCAAGUCCCUAACGGUUUUUGCUCUAUCUUGUCAAUUUGAUGUAUUUAAAUCCUAGAUCAAAUUAGGUUUACGUUCAGGAUUGCAUCUUAUGAGUUCAUUUAACCCUUCCACCUACGUUUCUGAAUAUAAACAGCAAAAGCAAUUUCUUACUAUCUGUCCAGUUCUCCGUUUUUCUACCUCAAAUAUGCAAUUAGUUGUUUCGAUUAUCUAAGAAAUUAUUUCUUCAUGAUCAAACUCAUAGCUUCCACUUAUCCUUCAUGCUUGUGACUGGAAUCACAUAAAUCCAGAAGCAUGAAACACCCGACUUCUGACAGAAUAUUUAAAACAUUUAAUCAUUUACCUAAUCAUAACAACCAAAUACAUUUUGCAUAUAACAAACAUAAAUCUCAAUAAUGAUGUUAAAAAAAAAACAAGGUAAAAAUGAAAAUUGUCAUGAAAACCACAAGCAACAGAAGAAUCAAUGAAAAUAUAAAUUUCAGAAGCCAACGAAAAUCACCUAAUCACUUGGCGACCAUGCGGGCGAUGAAAUCCUCGUAGCGGAUCUUGCCAUCGGAUCCAACAUCGACCUCCCGGAUCCAUUCGUCGAACUCGGCGGGCUCGAGUUUCUCCCCGAUGCUGGUGAGGAUGUGCCUGAGAUCCGAAACGACGACGUAUCCAGUGCCGUCCUUGUCGAGCACCUUGAACGCGUCGCGGAGCUGGCGAUCGAACGGCUCCGGCUUCAAAUGCUUGGACAUUAGGUCAAUGAAUCUCGCGAAAUCGAACGGCGCGUUCAGCUUCUCCUCGGAGAUUAUCGACUUCAGCUGAGCCUGGGUAGGGUUUCCGCCGAGCGACCGCAUCAGGAUUCCGAGCUCCGACGGCGCAAUCUUGCCGUCGCCGUCGGUGUCGAACAAGGUGAACGCCUCCUUCAUCGAUGAUUUCUGAUCGUCGCUCAGAUCUUUCCCCAUUUUCCUGCAAAUUCACCUUCCCUUUUUUCCCCUUCUUUCAAUUCUGAUUUUAAUUUUUAUAUUUUCUUUUUCGUGCCCCUUUUUUUGGAAUCUGGAGUCUGAGAUGAGAAUGUUCGCAACAAACAAGACUUUUGUUUUGAAAUAGAGGGACUUCGAUGUAAAUAAAAAACAUUCAAGGACUGUGUAGCAAUUUAAUAAAAUAUUUGGGCCCAAAGAACUCAUAGGCCCAAUUCAUAGUGCUUUGGGUAUGGGUUUUUUUGCAGGCAAAUGGGCCAUUUAAGAAAAUAAAAGAAAAUGAGUUGUCACAUUUUAAUUUCUGUAAAAUCCGUACCACAUAUAUUCAAUGGCUGGCCCUUUUCAUUUAAGUCCUUUUGAAAAUAAAUAAAUAAAUUGUUUUUUUUUUUACACAAUAAAUUGUUGCAUUUGAAAAGGACUUAUUAUUAACCUGUAGACCACCCUACCCCUCACCCCCGGUUGUGGGGGCUGAAUCUAGUGAGCCAUGGACCACCUUUAGGAGAGAUACAAAAAGGGUAAAAAAGGUAAAUCACGUAUCAUAAAAAAAGGGUUGGGAGUCCAGACAGGUGGAUUCAUUAGAUAGAUGCCUUUGUAGCUUUUUCAGACGCACCACAAAAAAGUUAUCAAGAAUUUAUCAAAGCCAGUUAGAUUUCCACCCAAUCAGAUUAGACCCUUAUAAAUAAAACUAAUGGGGUUCCAUUUGCAAUAUUUGUUUUAUAGAUGACCCAUUAUAUAAAAUAAAAUAACUAUCAUUUUACAUAAAGUGCUUCAUAUCUUUGGUUAUGGUGAAAAAGGUUAAAAUUAAUACAUGGUAAAAAAAAUUGUCUGGGAAUGUCAGUAAAGUUUGAGAACAAGCAGACGGAUUUUUACUUUAUCUUAAAUUAAUGUAAUUAAUUAUUACUGUUAAAGUAAAGUGAGUUUGUCUUGAAUGGAUCAACCUCGUGCUUUUUUAUAUUUAAUUUACCACUGUGUUGAUUUUUUAUAUGAGAAAUGUCAGUAUAUAUGUUGGCUGGUUGUUAUGUGGAAUUGGGAAUAUUGAGAAAUGGCCCCUAGUUGAAUUAUUUUAUGUUUUCCAAGUCCAACAUUGUAGAGCUCUAUGUUUUCUUUUGGAUAUAUUUGGUCACCACUCUACUACAUGUCUUAAAUAUUUGAGUAUAUAUAAUUAAAAACUAUUUUAUUUGAUUAAUGCUGUAGCCUUCCAAAAAAAUUAUCAUUAGCAUUCAUUUGCCUAAAGAUUAAAAAAAUAAUAAUAAUAAUAAAAAUAAUAUACAAAAUCAUCAUGUGAAAAUUUCAUAAAAUAUAUGGAACAGAAUACUUGCUGUCAGUUGACCACUGGUCCACAAGCCCCAACAAGAAUCCAAUAUUUUCACAUUUGUACAAUCUAUGGUCUAAAGUAGGGGUGUGAACGAGCCGAGCUCGCCUCUUUUGGUUGGCUCGAGCUCGAGCUCGAGUCUAUUUUGUCGAGCUCGAGCUCGAGCCCAAUCUCAUUUUUUCUUUUUUUUAAUAUUUUUUAAUUAUUAUUUUAUUAUUAAAAAUUAUUUAAAAAAAAUACAAAAUAAAAACUAAAUUGUGAUUAUAUAUUUUUUUAAUAUUUGUAUUUAAUUCUAUAAUAUUUUAUAUUAUUUAAAUAAAAAUAACAUAUAAAAAAUAAAAAAAAUAAAAAAAUAAUAAUAAAUCCGGCUCGCGAGCCGAUGAACAACUAAAAUUCGGCUCGAGCUCGGCUCGUCAAAAAGCUCGAGCUCGAAAACCUCGAGUCCGAGUUCGACCUUUUUACGAGCCAACUCGUCGAGCUCACGAGCCGGCUCGGCUCGUUUACCACCCCUAGCCUAAAGUAAUUAUUAAUGUUGUUUAUUUCAAGGGAACUUACUUUUUCACCCCUCAAGUUUACACAUAUUCAAUAUAUUUGAUUUCACAUGUUUGAAUAAUUUAACAUUUUUAGUCAUUUCCGUCAAUUUACCAUUAGUCAACCAACCACAUGCUUGAUUUUGUUAUUACUAACGCAAAAUUGAAGGAAAUAACUAAAAAUGUUGAAUUUUUAAAACAUGACGUACCAAAUGUAAUUUUUGUGAACACGGGGACCAAAUAUGAAAUUAGUGCAAACUUGAGGGAUGAAAUUUGUAUUUUUCCAUUUAUUUUAAUAUAUUUGAUUGUUUUUACUUUUUAGUUUUAAAUAUCGUAUUUAAUUACAUAAUUAACAAAUUACCUUAAGAGGGAAAAAAACUAAAUGAAUAAUGAUAUUUAUUCAUUUAAUUAUCCUUUUCUUUUUCGAACUAUAUUCAAUUAAUUAUCUUAAUUAAUGCUUAUUUUCACAGUGACCUAAUGGCUAAUGCUAAGAAGCUAUACUCUGCAUCUCACCUCACCUAAGCCCUCGAAAAAAUAAAAACAAAUCAACGGUCCAAAAUCAACAUCCAGUAAUCAAGAACCCUUGCAAUUUAUUCCUCCAUCGUGUUCGAAUCUCAUCGCACCCCUCUCCUUUUUGAACAGUAUGGAGCUUUCCUAUGUUGUUUGUCUCGACUUUCUUCCUUUCGGACAAAAUUCGAUAAAAAGCACAACAAGACACACACAAGAAGCUCUGUGACUGUGUGUAUCUGUGUGUGAGAGAGAAGUUACUUCCCAUUAUCUCUCUCUCUCUCUCUCUCUCUCUCUCUAUAUCUCUCUGCCUGCACGCUUCAUCACUGAGAUUUUCGAAAAAACAUAGAAACAAUAAUACAGCCAUUAAGACAAAAAAAUUCAAACGGAGAAGAAGCAACAAUAUCUUCCGAACAUGGGUUUCUCUCCGUUUCUGUUUCUUCUCUUUCUCUCCGUCACGUUCGCCUCCGGCGAACCCAGUUCGGAGCUGACAUCCUUACUUGACUUGAAAGCGAGUCUUGACCCGGAAAACUUACAUCUCGGGUCAUGGGUCGGUUCGGGCGACCCGUGUGGCGGUACCUUUGAGGGGGUCGCCUGCAACGAGAAACGGCAGGUCGCCAACAUUUCCUUGCAGGGUAAAGGCCUCGCCGGAAAACUGUCGCCGGCGGUCGGCGGUCUGAAGCAUCUGACGGGUUUGUACCUGCAUUACAACUCUCUUUACGGUGAAAUACCUCUAGAGAUUGCAGACUUGACUGAGCUCAGUGAUCUCUACCUGAAUGUGAACAAUCUCUCCGGCGAGAUUCCGCCGGCGCUCGAACACAUGCAAAACUUGCAAGGUGCCUGAAUAAACUGAAAAAUUCUCUCUUUUCUUUUUUCUGAUUAUAUUUAAUUUGAACCUGCAUUUGGGUUUUAAUUUGCCUUGAAAAAGAUUACACCUUUGAACUAAUAAUCCUUUGUCUGUAAAGAUCUUGUCUUGUAUAUAUAUUUGAACCUACAUUUGGGUUUUGUCUUGAAAGAUUAGAUUUUUGAACUAAUUAAUAGUACUUUUGUUUUGUGUAAGUUCAAAUUAGACCUAUAUGUAUAUAUAUGAGCUUAAAAAUCUAAUCUUGAAACAUCCCAUUUGUUCUAUUUUGUCCGAAUGCAGUUUUGCAGCUAUGUUAUAACCACCUCACAGGGAGUAUUCCUACACAAUUAGCUUCUCUAACGAAGCUCAACGUGUUAGCUAUACAAUCGAAUCAAUUAACUGGUGCAAUCCCAGCUAGCCUAGGUGAUUUACCAGUCUUGAUGAGGCUAGACCUAAGUUUCAACCGCCUCUUCGGUUCAAUUCCAACGAAAUUAGCCGACGCACCGUUGCUCGAAGUACUCGAUGUUCGAAACAACACUCUCUCCGGCAAUGUACCUCUAGGUAAUUAAUAAAAUAACACAUUCUUUAUCUUUUUUUGCCUUUUUCUUGAAUUAGAACCAGUACUAAUAGAUUUGUUUGAUGAAUGAUGAUCAAUCUUGAAGCUUUGAAGAGAUUGGUGGACGGAUUUCACUACGAAAACAACCCGGAACUAUGUGGGUCGGGUUUUUCUUCCCUUCAAACUUGUGGGCCCAAUUCGGAGCGCCCCGAACCCUAUUCGGGUGGGUCAAUGGGAUCCACGACCAAGAACAUUCCGGAAACAGCCGACCUAAAUCUCAACUGCAGCCAGAGUUCUUGCUCUAAUAAGUCAUCCAAGACCUCACAAGCCUCGGUUGCUGUGGGCAUAAUUGUAAUUACCGUUAUGGUAUCUUUCGCAGCUAUUCUGACCUUCUCAAUUUACAGAAGGCGCAAGCAAAAACUCGGUAGUGCUGCAUUCGAUGCAUCCGAGAGCCGUUUGAGCACAGACAAUCACGUGAAUAACGAGACUUAUAAUAGAAAAAACGGAUCUCCACUAGUGAGCCUAGAGUACUCCAAUGGGUGGGACCCGCUUUCCGAUGACCGCCGCUUUCUUGGUUUUGUUUCUCACGAGGUAGUGAAGAAUUUUCGGCUCAAUCUGCAGGAAGUGGAGACAGCUACUCAGUACUUUGCUGACAAGAAUAUAUUGGGGAAGAGUAAUUAUUCGGUGACUUAUAGAGGGAAUUUGAGAGAUGGAUCGGUUGUUGCAGUUAAGAGAAUCACGAAGAGUAGCUGCAAAUCCGAGGAAUCCGAGUUCUUGAAGGGGUUGAACAUGUUGACUUCUUUGAGGCAUGAGAAUUUGGUUAUGUUGAGAGGCUUUUGUUGCUCGAAGGGGCGUGGUGAGUGUUUUCUUGUGUAUGAUUUUGUUCCGAACGGGAGUUUGUUGAGAUAUUUGGAUCUCGAAAAGGGCGACGCUCGGAUUCUUGGAUGGUCCACUAGGGUUUCUAUAAUCAACGGCAUUGCUAAAGGUGAGUGUUUUAUUUUCUUGAAGUCAAAAUUGCAAUUUUUUAAGGCUGUUUUUUAUGUUCUUUAGAUUAAGGCCUCGUUUGGUUGGUAAGAUUAGCCACAAUAACCCAAAACCGAAAACCCGAAAUAACUUUUCGGGCCGGCCAGCAAUCUUGAAAAAUUGGCAAAGUGUGAGAUUAUUUAAUCUUAUCUUACCUAAUCUUAUUGUUGGAACCAAACGAGGCCGAAAGAUUAUUGAUUUAUUUUUUAUUUUUUUCGUCUACUUUGAGCAGGGAUAAAGUAUUUGCACGACAGCAAGGCGAACAAGCCCUCACUAGUUCACCAAAACAUCUCCGCCAAAAACGUGCUCAUUGACCAAAAGUCAAACCCCGUUCUAUCCGAUUCUUGCCUGCACAAGCUUCUCACAAACGACACCGUCUUUUCGGCUCUCAAAGCAAGCGCUGCUAUGGGUUAUCUCGCACCAGAGUACACAACCACCGGCCGAUUUACUGAGAAAAGCGACGUGUACGCUUUUGGGGUGCUCGUUUUUCAGAUUCUCUCUGGGAGAAAAACGUACUCGAGUUCUAUGAGAGCUUCUGCUGAAAUGUGCAGCCUCGAUUUUAUUGACGGAAAUUUAUUUGGGAAUUUCGACGAAUUGGAAGCCGCGAUGCUUGCGAAAGUUGCGGUGGUGUGUACAAGUGAAUGUCCGGACGAGCGGCCGUUUUUGGAGACGAUUGUGGAGGGGCUUAGUAACGGGAUUUAACUGAUGUUUUGAUGUUUGAAUGUGUUUUCGGAAUUUGCAUUAGCUGUAGUAACAAGGUAGAUUGGUAGUAACAAGUAACAACUACUUUGUAGGUCCAUUUUAGUGGAGGACUGACCCUGUUGAUUUUGUUGCAGUGUAGUAAGUUAGUUCAACUUAGCCUAGGAAUGGUUGUUGUUGUUAAUGUUGUUGAUGGAUUUUCUACUUCACUUUGUUCUUGUAUUUAAUUAAAAUUUGGUCUGUAGUAACAUGAUUUCGAUAUUUAUUAGAUUUUAAUUGAUGUGGCAUUCGGGGUGGAAAUCGGAUAGAAUGAUCGGACAUGGCUUUUUCUUUAAUUAAAAAAUGGGGUUCCAAAAAAAUUGGAAUGUAAAAAUACAUUCUGAUUAAUUUUGGAAAUUUCAUUAGUUUAUAGUAUAUUGUUCCAAAUUUGUAUAAUUUUUACAAUAUUUUUCUAUCAUGUUUAAAAUUUCGCAGAAAAAUGUAAGAAAAUUCAAAAGAGAAUUCGACAAAAUGCAAUAAAUAAAAACACGUGUACGAACAAGAAAUUGAAACAUAGUAAAACAUGGUUAUAUUAUAUACAUAGAAAAACACGUUAUAUAUAUAUAUAUAUGCAAAAUUUCUAAACAAAUAUUUAUUUAACAAAAUUCUCUUUAUAUUAAUAUUUUGAGAAUAAAUUUACCUACAAUCAACCCUAAUUAUUAAAAAACAAUUCAUGUGGGAGAAAAAAAAUAAAGAGUCGGUCAGAGAAUUUUUUUCUAAAAACAUGUUUAUUUAAGAAAAAUCGCUUUAUAUUAUAAAUUUACCUAGAAUGAACUAAUUAUUAAUAAAAAAAAUCAUUUAAUAUUGAUGGAAAUUGCAGCAAAAAAAGAUAAGAGUCUGUCAGACAUCUGCUUGACCACCCCAGCCAGCUAAGCUGACAAGGAACGAUCCUCUACUGCGCCGCGGCUGUGAGCCGAGGGAGCCGUUAAUCACGCUCUGGCCAAGCAGACCCGGUUCAUCAACCAGACUUAAUAUCCUGUCUCCUUAGAACUCAAGGAUACAGAGGUACGAGCCUAUAGAACAGAUCCUGUUCAAGUAAGGUCGUGCCCUAUACUGCUCACAUUAAAGUAUAAAU